GAGAUAUUCCACAUAACACUCAGCUGAUCUGGAAUCACUUUCUUUGCAGGGCCAGAGAAAAAUCACCAGUUCACUGUCUGAGGGAAGCAGGACAGAGGACCUGGGAAAUGCAAGCUCACCCUGGAGCAAGAUCUUCUAUGGUUUGGCACUCCUAACAGUGCCGGCCUUAAAGAUUCCACCCACCGCUGGAACCCGGAGGGCAACUAUAGCAGCAAAAACCCGAAGUGCUGCUGCCUAUGGUGACUAUGUGAGAACUGAAACUUCUGAGGGAAGCCGUGUUGUUAAAAUUGUGAUUCCUUUUACUCAAUGGUAACACGGAUGAUCUAGUCUGAAAGGGAAAGCAAGCUCUUAAGCAUCCUCCCUGAAUCUAACUCACCCAUGCCUGCCUCAGCCUGGAACUCCUCAAUCCAGCCCUCUGACUGGCCCAACUUCAAUCCCAAGCAUGGCUUUGGAGCAGACCCUGCCAGAAGAAGCGAGAAAAAACAAUGAUCCAACUCAUGGCUUUUGAAGAACUAGAGAAAAUCAUGGCCACAUGAAAGAAGGAGUCAUCACUCAUGCCUCUAGGCUCUUUGAUUGGUUCAGAUAUCAUAGCAACCCCCUCACCUGAUCUCCUGGGCCAUCCCCCUCUCUCCAGCACCCUACACCCACGCAAACACCAGAUGGCAGUUUUUAGAUAAGCUUCUCUAUCUUCUGGUGAAGAGUUGCCUUGUAACGAAGAAUAGAUCCUAUAGCUCUGAAUCCUUCCAAUUCCCCUGUUUGGCCCUUAACUGAUUCUUCCUUAGUGAAUACGCAAACCUCUGGACUGGAGACAAAUAUGCAUAAAUCAUACCUGCAACUCCAUGUAGGACAAAGGCUACAUGGUACCAUAUUAAUAUAUGACUGCUCUUGAGCCUUAAAAAUCUUAGGACCUGAAGAAGGGCCUAAUCCACUAUCCUCAGUUCUAGAUGAGGGAGUGAAGGCCCAGAAAGGUAAAUGAUUUGCCCAAGGACUCACAGUGGUGAGUGCAGCCCAAGGACCAGACCAGGCUCUCCCAACAGUGGGCAGGGUUCUUCUCUGCAUUCAUCCCUAGGCUUUACAGGGUUCUAUGUUCUGCUGAGGAAUGCAUUGCACGGAGCCCCCUGUUGUACUGCUCUUGGUCUCUUGGUGUUAGAAUGACGCCAAGACACUAUUUCUACAUAAUUCUUAAACACUGUAGUCUCUGUUUUACAUCUGGUCCAUUAAGUUUCUCUCAUUAUCUGUGUUCCCGCCUGGACUUCUAUCAGGAGGAAUCCAUUCAUUAACAAAACUUUCAGAGAAAUAUCUUUGCCAUUUUUAGAAGUUUAUCAUUUAAACCUAAAGGAGGGAGAAAAAGGUUUGAGAUAGUGGCUUGAAGAAGAGUGUGGGUUGCUGAAUAGUGUGGAUUGUUGAAUUUAUUUUUUCUAGUUGAAGAUAAUUAGAGAUUAUUGCCUACCAUCUUCUUUGGAAAGACUGACAUUCACUUACUUCUCUAGCACAGAGCACAUUAACACUCUCAACCAAUAUCAUUUGAUUCUGGCUUAGAACUACAGAUCUGAUUUUCUCCAAGGGAGCCCUCAAGAUUUCUGAUUUCCCUUUCUUCCUAGGAUAAUUUAUAUUUUUUCUUCAAGUUAUGAUCUUCUAUUUUUUCCCUAAGUACUAUGUUAGCAAAUUCUGUGAGCUUCAGAAUAUC